rnacentral:rRNA from 1 species
GAGGUCAAGCAAAUCCCAUAAAGUUGUUCUCAGUUCGGAUUGUAGUCUGCAACUCGACUACAUGAAGCUGGAAUCGCUAGUAAUCGUAGAUCAGCAUGCUACGGUGAAUACGUUCCCGGGUCUUGUACACACCGCCCGUCACACCACGAGAGUUUGUAACACCCGAAGCCGGUGGAGUAACCUUUUAGGAGCUAGCCGUCGAAGGCGGGACAAAUGAUUGGGGUGAAGUCGUAACAAGGUAGCCGUAUCGGAAGGUGCGGCUGGAUCACCUCCUUU